rnacentral:rRNA from 1 species
GUGGGGAAUCUUCCGCAAUGGACGAAAGUCUGACGGAGCAACGCCGCGUGAGUGAUGAAGGUCUUCGGAUUGUAAAGCUCUGUUAAUCGGGACGAAAGAGCCUAGUGUGAAUAAUGCUAGGAAGUGACGGUACCGGAAUAGAAAGCCACGGCUAACUACGUGCCAGCAGCCGCGGUAAUACGCAGGUGGCAAGCGUUGUCCGGAAUUAUUGGGCGUAAAGCGCGCGCAGGCGGAUCUGCCAGUCUGUCUUAAAAGUUCGGGGCUUAACCCCGUGAUGGGAUGGAAACUACAGAUCUAGAGUAUCGGAGAGGAAAGUGGAAUUCCUAGUGUAGCGGUGAAAUGCGUAGAUAUUAGGAAGAACACCAGUGGCGAAGGCGACUUUCUGGACGAAAACUGACGCUGAGGCGCGAAAGCCAGGGGAGCGAACGGGAUUAGAUACCCGUGUAGUCC